AUUUUCUAUUUGGUUCUAUUUUUUAGUCAUGAAGUUAAGUACUAGUAUCGUGGGAUAUUUGAAGUUCUUGGGUACUGAAAAUUCAAGAAGUUUUAGAAGGAAAACAAGUUUUAAACUCUGGUCAUCUUAUUUUGGCUGGAAAAAUAGAGGAAAGUUCUGAGCAUACCAUCAAAAUAUAUGGUUUAUUCAUUCAGUAAGGUGCAAUCCCCACGAAAUUAAAGGAACCCUAUCUUUCACAAAUGGCAUGAGCAUUAGCCAAAUGUUAUGUUCUUGUAAAGCAGAAAAUAGUGGAAAAUGUAAACAUGUCUACUCUUGCUAAAUGUAAGUAUAAGGGAAGAUGUGAAAUUAAUGGAACAUUCAGUAUAUGAGUUGAAAAAAAUGUUAACAGAUUGGCAAAUGAAGACCAUUUUUAAUUGAUCUAAACAUUUAUAGAAACAAA
rnacentral:lncRNA from 1 species